CAGCCGCCGCGGGAAUACGAGGGGGGCAAGCGUUGUUCGGAAUUAUUGGGCGUAAAGGGUGCGUAGGCGGUUUGGCAAGUUUGGUGUGAAAUCUUCGGGCUCAACUCGAAGUCUGCAUCGAAAACUGCCGGGCUUGAGUAUGGGAGAGGUGAGUGGAAUUUCCGGUGUAGCGGUGAAAUGCGUAGAUAUCGGAAGGAACACCUGUGGCGAGAGCGGCUCACUGGACCAUAACUGACGCUGAUGCACGAAAGCUAGGGGAGCAAACAGGAUUAGAUACCCCUGUAGUCCCUGUCUCUUAUAA
rnacentral:rRNA from 1 species